GAGCACGUAGGUGGGUUUGUAAGUCAGAUGUGAAAGCCUUCUGUUCAAAGGAAGAACGGCAUCUGAAACUGCGAAUCUUGAGUGUAGGAGGGGAGAGUGGAACUUCUGGUGGAGCGGUGAAAUGCGUAGAUAUCAGAAGGAACGUCGGCGGCGAAAGCGACUCUCUGGCCUAUUACUGACACUGAGUGUGCGAAAGUUAGGGGAGCAAACGGGAUUAGAUACCCCGGUAGUCCUAACUGUAAACGAUGGGCACUAAGUAGAGGGGUUUU
rnacentral:rRNA from 1 species